AUAUAUUUUUUAAAAAAAAAACUUUGCGGGAAAUCUUUUUUCGAAAUUUUUUGGUGGAAAAUUUUUUUGGCGGGAAUUUUUUUUAGAAUAUUUUGGAUAAAAAUAUUAAUAUUUCAUUUUGUUAACCUAAAACAAUAUCUAAAUAAGGGUAAAAUGGUCAUUAAAAAUUUGAAGAGGGUAGAAAUGAAAAUGGCUAAAGAAAAAGGGUAGAGUUGAAAAUGGUUAUCAUGAAAGGGCAUUAGAAAGAAUUUUUCUAUAUAAUCGAUAU
rnacentral:sRNA from 1 species